UGGUGAUUAUAGCGAAGAGGAAACACUUGAACCCAUACCGAACUCAACAGUGAAGAGCUUUAGCGCCAAUGGUACUAUGUCUUAAGGCAUGGAAGAGAAGGUCAUUGCC
rnacentral:rRNA from 1 species